rnacentral:lncRNA from 10 species
GGACCCUCCGAGCCAGGUGAUACGAAGCCUUCUGAAGAUUUGAAUCAAGGAAAUGAGGAGCCAUUGAAGAAUACUGUUGUCCUAUCCCAGAAGGAGCAAGCGGACAACACUGAUAUCCUGACCACUAACCAUCCAGCACCACUUAAAGAGGUCCCAAAACCCCCGGCUGUCUACCAAUACCCAUCUGUGACCUCUUAGGAACCGAGCUUCACAGCAGGAGGUGAAUGGUGGACAAGCGAGCAUUAUCGCCUCAGCUCCACCUCCUGUCAGUUUUAAAAAGAAUAACAGAAAGAAAGAAGUGGCUGAAACCUAAAUGCCAUAUGGAGAAGACAGCUAAUUGCCACACUCUCCUCUUUGGUCUUUCCUGGUACGCAGCAUACAAGCCCACAGAUUGAGGACUCUGCACUUGCUGUUCUCUCUGCCUGGAGCUCUAUGGCUCCAGAUAGACUCCUGCCAACUCCUUCGCCUUGUCCAAGUUACCUUCAUUAAAUGUCAGCUUAAAUGUGUGCCUACUUUUUGCCCUACCUAGAAUUGCAAGCACCUCUCACCACUGUGCUCCCAUUCUCCUUAACUUAAGCCACUUUUAUUCUCAUAAUAAAGCCACAUAUUUUUUCUUAUUAUAUCAUAAUCGUACUGUAUAAUUUAUAUUUUAUUACUUUUGUUUGUAUACUUAUUGUAUGUUUCUGUUCACAAGGAUGUAAACCCCAUGAACACAGAGAUCUUUGAUUGUUUUAUUCACUGAUUUAUGCCAAAUGUUUGGAACAAUGCCUGGCACAUAGUAGAUGUUUGAUAAUUUUUUUUUUUUCUGAAUGAAUAAAUACAUUUUAGCCAAAUAUGCUGACUCUGCUUGUUUGGUUAUAUUUAUGUGUGUGUGAAUGUAUGUGCAGAAAAAGAAGAAAUUAGUUAAUACCAAAUCUAUAAAAUGGGAAAAAUAAUGCUUACCUUAUAGUGUUGUUAUGAAACUCAACUAAUAUAAGAUAUGUGAAGGGUCUAGCAUAAAAUG